rnacentral:tRNA from 1 species
GCGACGGUGGUAUAACGGCUAUUACCUCAGCCUUCCAAGCUGAAGACGCGGGUCCGACUCCCGUCCGUCGCU